UACAGAGGUCUCAAGCGUUGUUCGGAUUCAUUAGGCGUAAAGGGUGCGUAGGCGGCGCGGUAAGUCGGGUGUGAAAUCUCGGAGCUUAACUCCGAAACUGCAUUCGAUACUGCCGUGCUUGAGGACUGGAGAGGAGACUGGAAUUUACGGUGUAGCGGUGAAAUGCGUAGAUAUCGUAAGGAAGACCAGUGGCGAAGGCGGGUCUCUGGGCAGUUCCUGACGCUGAGGCACGAAGGUCAGGGGAGCAAACGGG
rnacentral:rRNA from 1 species